CAUUCAGGUCUUAUUUUCCUGUUGGCUUUCUUCAAUAUUAUCCUCAGAAAGUGGGGCCUCUCUUUGGACGUUUGACUUGGCCACAACAGUAGCCGCAGAAAGAGUUUCUUUGAUCUCCUUGCAUCUGGUAAAUCUAGUGGAGAUGUGCCUGUUUGGAGUGUGAAGAUCAUGUAAAGUGGCAGUAGGAAGCUUUAAGUAUGU